rnacentral:rRNA from 1 species
AACAAACGCUGGCGGCGUGCCUAAUACAUGCAAGUCGAACGGGGAAAGCUUUCGGGUGAGUACUAGUGGCGCACGGGUGAGUAACGCGUGGAUAAUCUGCCUUAGAGUGGGGGAUAACUAGUCGAGAGAUUAGCUAAUACCGCAUAAGACCACAAGAACUGCGGUUCAAGAGGUCAAAGGUUUUUCGCUCUAAGAUGAGUCCGCGUAAGAUUAGCUAGUUGGUGAGGUAACGGUUCACCAAGGCAACGAUCUUUAACUGGUCUGAGAGGAUGAUCAGUCACACUGGAACUGAGACACGGUCCAGACUCCUACGGGAGGCAGCAGUAGGGAAUAUUGCACAAUGGAGGAAACUCUGAUGCAGCGACGCCGCGUGAGUGAUGAAGGCCUUCGGGUCGUAAAGCUCUGUCGCAGGGGAAUAACACAAUGAAUGUACCCUGUAAGAAAGGAUCGGCUAACUUCGUGCCAGCCGCCGCAGUAAAAC